GGAAACAACACAGGGGAUUUUUGUGAGAUCACUGAAGUAUUAAUAAGGACAUACGUCAAGGCGACAACAGAUGAAACAACAGGACUGUCAACGGCACACCUCGCAGUGAUCAUCACAAUCUCCCUUGUGGCCAUUAUUGUUAUCAUCGUCGUAACCGUCGUCAUAAGACGUCGACGCCAGAGAAGAAAGUCAACCGGGAGUCAGACAGGUAAUGUAGCAAACGACAUUAGAGGGUUAGAUAUCUUCACACAUGGUAACUGCCACUGGGUAAUUGACCCUGGGAAACACCACCAUUUUUAUUCCCAACUCCGCAU